GAUAAACGCUGGCGGCGUGCCUAACACAUGCAAGUCGUACGUCCUUUGUUCCCGCGAGGGAAGAGAGGGAGUGGCGGACGGGUGAGUAACACAUGGGUACCUGCCUCACAGUGAGGAAUACCCCCGGGAAACCGGGGACAAGACCGCAUAGGCUCUCUUUUGUAAGAGGGGGAGAGCAAAGCUCUUCGCGAGAGGGGCGCUGUGAGAGGGGCCUGUGGCCGAUUAGCUAGCUGGUGGGGUAAGAGCCUACCAGGGCGACGAUCGGUAGCUGGUCUGA
rnacentral:rRNA from 1 species